GGUGCCGACCCCGUCCCGUCCCGCUGCGGGCUCCCCGGGCUGUUUUACCCUUCCCGGUGCCCGCCGCCGUCGAGCUCCUCACACGGGAGACGGGCCUCGCACCGGCUGAGGGCGGGAAGGCCUCGAUGGCGGCUCCGCCCGCCGUAAGGGGGCCGGGGCGGACAAACAAGCGACGGGGAAGGCAGCUGAGAACCGCUCCCUGCUCGCUCUGCCCCCUUCAGAGCCCAGACACCGCCGGGGGCUGCCCCGACAGCGGCUGCCCCCUGCCCGUCCGCUCCUCAGGGAGCCUGGGACGGUCCCGGCUGGGUCUGGAGGCUCUGGGGGUGUGGAAGUGGAGGCGGCAGCGAUGGCUCGGGGUGUGCGGGGCUCUGCCGAGGGGGAGCUUAAUUAAUUAAUUAAGAGGAGGAAGAACUGGAGCUGGCUCCUGCAGGCUGGGAGACACGGCAAGCGACAUUUGCCGUGGAUCCAUGAGACGAAAAGAGAGGAAACGGCCACAGCCAAGCUGCUCACUCCCCUUAAGCACACCCACACCGUACUACCUCAGGGGUGCUCAACAAAGUAGAAGAAAACUCUGUGAAGAAGAAGAUACCAAAGGGAAAUUAAAUCACAAUUGAAAGAAUAAGCUCAUCAUCAAACCUGUUUGAAGAUACUGGCUUAGAUCCUCAGCGUACACAUAUAUCUUAUUUAAAAAAUACUCCAGAAGGCCCGCCAGAAGUACCUGAGCCAUGUCAGCCAGCACAUUGAAGGAUGCACUGAAAGACAGACUCAUAUGAGGAGAACAGAACAUGACCGUCAACUUUUGGAAGAUGUAAAAGCAAAACUAAACAACCCACACACCUUGAGGAACAAUUGCCAAAGGUGUAAAAGAUAAUUAAAAAAUAUCAGAAACAGGAAGCCUGCCAGAAAGAUAAUUGGACUCACAUAUUUUCAGGGUGUAAAAGGAGUACUUAACGAAAGUAGGGCAAUUGCAGGCGAGCUAAGCCAGUCAUUUGCAGCAAUGUUUUACUGCAGUGGAAACAUCUUUUCUUGCGAGAAGAGGGAAUAUUACUCAGAGACGGAUAGCUGGAAGCAGUAAGCAACAGAUUUCAUAGCGAGAAAGGUUAUUAGCGAUGUCCCCGUGGAUUUCUGUGGGAACCUGUGCUGUUCGGGGUACUCGUCCAAUACCCGGGAAACGCUCCCAGCAGUGAGGUGCUGCUAUUGAUGGAGGGUUACUCACUCAGAUGGCUGGAUCAAAAGUGAAUGGCAAUAAACUGUGGAAAACUCACAACACAAAGUUGGAAAAAAAGUAAAUCAACUCAUUGGUAGUAAGUACAAAAUAAUGAUUGCGUUAACCAGUAGUUUUUCUGAGCACAGGAACUAAUGAAGUCUACUUUUAUAACCAGCAGUUGAAUGACAUCUUAAUUAAAUUAUAUUAAGGCUGCAGUGUGACUUCCAUCUUUAUAUUACACAUAAAAGAAUCCACAGAGAAAAACCCUGGCUAAGGUUCGAAUUCUCUGGUAUCUAAUGAGGCAUCAAAUGCCACUGAAACUUUUUUCUGCAGGUAGGGCACUCAGGCUGCUCUCUCAGGUCUGCGAUGACUGCUAAGCGUUAGAUCCAGUGAGCCUUGCCCUCGCUGGAGACACUCAGCAUCUCCUGUCCGGCUUCCUAUUUCUCAGCAGCAGGGCUGCCUACCUUCACAAAACUUACCGAAACUUCAGGUGGCAAAACCUUUAUGCAACUUGUCUAAUUUGCUUGAAAUUCAAAAGCAAAUGUUAAAUUUAAAGGUAAUAACAAGGCAUCCAAAAAAUAUUUUGAGGUGCAGUAAUCAUGUAACACGCUUGCGUAAAUGCUGUGUGUCUGGGAACCAGUCUAACCUUGACUCCACAGGUGGGCCUCUCUCCUAAACCAGCUGUUACCACCUAAGGAAGAGAUCUUGCAGUUUUCAUGGAUAUUUCUGUGAGGAGGCUCAGUAGUAAUCAGGGGCAAAUAGAAGAAGGAAUUACUGGAGAAGAAAUUGAGAGGAAAAAGAUGUCACGAGGACAGUGUGCAAACCCCUGAUGAGUCCUCGCUCUCCUGGAAGAUGGCAUGAAGUCUGUUCACUUGACAUAGGGCAUAUUAGAAACGGAAAGGGUAAAAGGGGAGGCAAAAAAACAUUCAAAUAUACAAAAUGGACUCAUUUAAAGAAGAUAUCCUCUAGCCCAGAGCUCCUCAUAUUUGGAGAGGAGACAAUUACGAGGGUAUGACAGAUGUCUUCAAAACCAUGGAUGGUGUUGAGGGAGUGAACAAGAAGUGACUAUUCACUCGCUCGACUCGCAUUGAACAGUCCCUGGAAAGGGACUGGAGAGCUCAUUCAAGGCAAGCACCCUACCACUUGUCUGAAAAUUCAUGCCCCUGCUCGCACGUUCCCUCCGAACAAGCUUAAAUAAUUCCAUCCUUUGGCAGACAAACAGCACUGAUGGCAGGGAGUGAGCACACACUUAAAGCAGCCUGUGCUACAGGGGGUCUUGAAGAAGUCUUCUGAAAUGCUGGAGACUCGGGCUUGUUUCUCCUCAGGCCCAUGCCAGCCACCAUGUGGGAAACCUUCCGUGUGAAGUAUAAUUCAGUUAAAAUCCCCAGAGGAGACCCAGGAAAAGACCAUCAUCACUGAUUUGAAAUAAAGAUAUAUCGUGCCUUGUCAGAUGCUGGAAGAAAGGACAUGGUGCUUACCUUGACACAAGACCACCGUGCUGUGAAGCCUGAGUGGCGGGAGGCCCCCUGGGCCAGCACAGAGCCCGAAGUCUCAGCUCCAGCAAGGAACGGUGCCCACAAUCCAUCACCAUCCUGAGCCUUCCUAUCUGCCAGCAUAACCAGUUCCUGGUUCUGCCUGGCAGGGACUCAUCACAUGUAUUCUGUGGGGGGGCUGCUUUGAUUUGUUUGGAAACCUAUUUAAUUUUUGUUUGUUGUGGAUCCCACUCUAAGACACCUAAAUCUUCCUGUGAAUUGUUUAAGGAGUCUGACCAUGAGGCUCAGAUAACGAAGUGCUUCAGCCCUUCUGUGAACCUGGGUCACGGUGAUUUCGUUUUUCCCCACAUAUGGAAGAGUGAAAUCAUAUCACUUUUUAGUAGAAAUAUUACUGUAAUUGAAAAUUUAUUUUAAAUUUCUAACGUCACUGAGUACGUACAGUUUAUGAAAGCCAAAGUCCUUUUCUGCUACAUUGAAAAGAAUAAACAAACCCCCAACACAGCUCCAUUAGAAACCCCCCUCACUAAGUUUAAGAGUGCGUAUGCAGAGAACACAGAGCAAACGCCAGUGCUCUGUGCAUUCUCCAAUAAAGACUUAGAACAGCAAUGUCUACAGGCAGGACGUUUCUUCCAAAGCCAGAGAGCCCCACCUUCACCACCAUGCUCUGAAGGCCAAUACCGAAAGCCAACACAUCGUACAGGAUUCCUUCCGUUCAUUAACAGUAAUUCCUAAGACUUAAAACUAAUGCGUUAAUCACAUUAAUGAUAAUCCAUUAAUGUGAGGAACCUGGAGAU